rnacentral:rRNA from 1 species
GACGAACCGUGCGAACGUUGUUCGGAAUCACUGGGCUUAAAGGGCGCGUAGGCGGCUUGCCAAGUCAGGGGUGAAAUCCUCCAGCUCAACUGGAGAAGUGCCUUUGAUACUGGCGAGCUCGAGGGAGGUAGGGGUGUGUGGAACUUCUGGUGGAGCGGUGAAAUGCGUUGAUAUCAGAAGGAACGCCGGUGGCGAAAGCGACGCACUGGACCUCUUCUGACGCUGAGGCGCGAAAGCUAGGGGAGCAAACAGG